rnacentral:rRNA from 1 species
CUGAUUGAACGUGCUUGCACGGACUUGACGUUGGUUUACCAGCGAGUGGCGGACGGGUGAGUAACACGUAGGUAACCUGCCCCAAAGCGGGGGAUAACAUUUGGAAACAGAUGCUAAUACCGCAUAACAAUUUGAAUCGCAUGAUUCAAAUUUAAAAGAUGGCUUCGGCUAUCACUUUGGGAUGGACCUGCGGCGCAUUAGCUUGUUGGUAGGGUAACGGCCUACCAAGGCUGUGAUGCGUAGCCGAGUUGAGAGACUGAUCGGCCACAAUGGAACUGAGACACGGUCCAUACUCCUACGGGAGGCAGCAGUAGGGAAUCUUCCACAAUGGGCGCAAGCCUGAUGGAGCAACACCGCGUGAGUGAAGAAGGGUUUCGGCUCGUAAAGCUCUGUUGUUAGAGAAGAACGUGCGUGAGAGCAACUGUUCACGCAGUGACGGUAUCUAACCAGAAAGUCACGGCUAACUACGUGCCAGCAGCCGCGGUAAUACGUAGGUGGCAAGCGUUAUCCGGAUUUAUUGGGCGUAAAGCGAGCGCAGGCGGUUUGAUAAGUCUGAUGUGAAAGCCUUUGGCUUAACCAAAGAAGUGCAUCGGAAACUGUCAGACUUGAGUGCAGAAGAGGACAGUGGAACUCCAUGGG